CAGUUUUUAAUGUUUUAGUUCCUACACAUCAGAGAUUAAGUAAGAAAUAAGAAGUAAAUGUUUUUCUAUUUUUUUAUAUUCUGAAUUUAUUCUGUCAUAAACGUAUCUUAAUUCUUGUACAUUCAUAUCCUACAUAUAAUUUAGUCAACUUAUCUUAUUUAUCAGAAUAACAAUUAUAAUAUAAUCAUUAAUUUGUUAGUGCUAUUUCAAGAUUCCAGAAUACUUAAAAAGUGCCAAACAAAUUUAUACAUCCUGGGAAAGUAAUUAGGAGAAUAAAUUAUUACUUUAUUUCUCAGAUGAGUAAACUGAGUCACAGAGCAAGCAAGCUACUUAUCUUGGAUCAUAUGCUAAGCAAAUAUAACUCAGCUGUUUUGAUUCAAAAUAUCUCAAAGUGAAAUUUUAUCAUUCUCCCUAAACACUCCCCUUCCCAAUUAUCGUCAUUGGUAGUACCAUUCUUCUAGUCCCCCAGGUUUGCCACAAAGGCAUCAUCUGCACCUUCUCAUUAUCUCUCCCUUUCUCUCCUCUAAUGAAUCUUUGCCAAGGUCUAUCGAUUUCACAUGUUCAGCAUCUCUCAAACUUGACACUGCCACCAUCUGAUGCACGAUCCUAUCCCUUCACAUUUCUGCUAUUACAAGUGUCUACUGACUGCCUUCCUGUUACCUCUGGGACCAAAUACAAAUCCUUUGAUAUUCUGAGUCCUUGAUGACCUAUCCUCCCAACUUACACAUUAAUAUACUCUUUGAUCCAGUGUUACUGACCUCUUUGCUGUUCCACAAAUAAGACAUAUCAUCUCAACACCAGGUCAGAGAUGAAAACAAGAGACAACACUCCUGUUUGGUAGAAUUCUCUAAGCUUCGAGAACAGGAAUACAAUUACAAUUUACAGAUGUCCCUUGAGACACUAAAGUAA